rnacentral:tRNA from 1 species
AUAGAGCAUUUGGUCUUUUUUGAAGGGAUUGAAAAUCCCCGUGUCCUUGGUUCGAUUCCGAGUCCGGGCACCA